UACGGAGGGGGCAAGCGUUAUUCGGAAUUAUUGGGCGUAAAGGGCGCGUAGGCGGCCGAUCAAGUCGGGGGUGAAAGCCUGUGGCUCAACCACAGAAUUGCCUUCGAUACUGUUUGGCUUGAGACCGGAAGAGGUAAGUGGAACUGCGAGUGUAGAGGUGAAAUUCGUAGAUAUUCGGAAGAACACCAGUGGCGAAGGCGACUGACUGGACAAGUAUUGACGCUGAGGUACGAAAGCGUGGGGAGCAAACAGG
rnacentral:rRNA from 1 species